rnacentral:rRNA from 1 species
UAACGACUCUCGGCAACGGAUAUCUCGGCUCUCGCAUCGAUGANGAACGUAGCGAAAUGCGAUACUUGGUGUGAAUUGCAGAAUCCCGUGAACCAUCGAGUCUUUGAACGCAAGUUGCGCCCCAAGCUGUUAGGCUGAGGGCACGUCUGCCUGGGUGUCACG